rnacentral:rRNA from 1 species
GACGAACGCUGGCGGCGUGCCUAAUACAUGCAAGUCGAGCGAAGUUUUUCUGGUGCUUGCACCGGAAAAACUUAGCGGCGAACGGGUGAGUAACACGUAAAGAACCUGCCUCAUAGACUGGGACCACUAUUGGAAACGAUAGCUAAUACCGGAUAACAGCAUUAACUGCAUGGUUGAUGGUUAAAAGUUGGUUUUGCUAACACUAUGAGAUGGCUUUGCGGUGCAUUAGCUAGUUGGUGGGGUAAAGGCCUACCAAGGCGACGAUGCAUAGCCGACCUGAGAGGGUGACCGGCCACACUGGGACUGAGACACGGCCCAGACUCCUACGGGAGGCAGCAGUAGGGAAUCUUGCGCAAAGGGCGAAAGCCUGACGGAGCAACGCCGCGUGAGUGAAGAAGGAUUUCGGUUCGUAAAGCUCUGUUGUUAGGGAAGAAUGCUUGUGUAGUAACUAUACACAGUAGAGACGGUACCUAACCAGAAAGCCACGGCUAACUACGUG